CUUCCCCUUUGUUUCCCUCAGUAAUGCUAGGGUCUUGAAACUCAGCCCAGUACAAUCAUUGGUGUUUGAGCUGGCAACUGGGGGUCUAAUUGCCAACUAAGAUGGAUAUCUCUGGCUCUGGAGAAACAGCUGGGAUAGGACAUUGUUGCUUCUCUGCGGCAGGCAGCUCAUGAUGCAAAUGCCGAGUUUGGACCGAUAGGAUUCAAACCUUGGUGGCUGCCUCCAGCAUGCACUCUCUGCACUGCUCUGCUUCCUCCUGCCACUCUGGUGACAUUUGCGUGGAGGUCAAUGCCACAGCUGAUGUGGGUGGUGGAAAUCCUACGGACAAGAGCAAAGACAGCACCUUGUCCACAAGAGUCCAUGGCAGUGUGCUCCUGAACAUGCCACUAAAGCAAACCACACGUCGUGGCCAGCUUUCCCUCCCUUAGAGGAUGCUGUGUAUAAUAAACACAACAAGGAACAGCAAGGCUUUUUUGUUCCCAAUUAUAUUCAGAGGAAGCCUCACCAUGUCUAUGGAUGCCCAGCAGGCUCUUCACCUGUGGCUCAAACCUCAAUAGGCUUUAGGGCAGCUACAAAGAGACAGUCCCUCUGCCACACCUCAUGGAAGUUGUCUGCCUGUCCAGCUUGAUUUGUUUUGAAAUGACACGGAGAGUUACAUAAAGAAAAACUUGUUCUGACAAGAAAAGACUUGAGGAGAUAAAAAUCCUCCUGGUCUCGGGGUUCUCCAGAUCUCUUCCCACACCAUCCUUGUCUCCCUGAGGAAAUGAGUAGUAUUUACAGUAUUCUGCUGCUAUGCUCAACAGAUUCUUGUAUGUACAGUUCUCACCUCUUUUCUCAGAACCUUCUCCGGUGAAUGCCACCUUUGUCUUGCAGACAGCUGAAGUGAGAGAUGAAACAGACUCUUUUAUAGGGGCUCACUACUCACUUUAAGCCCAGGGCUUCUGGCAAAAGUGUGACAUACUUGUUCUUGGAUACCAGAGAUGGCAGACUCCAAAUCUUGUCAUCUUCAAUUGCAAUGGGGAACAAUUUGGCUUCAAAUAAUUUUUCCAACAUACAUGAAGUCUGAAGGAAUUUUUGGAGAGGUCAACAGUAAUGCUUUUCUCUAGAGAUGAUCGUUCUUUAUAGCUUGGUCAUGGGAGGUUCAUAAGGGAGCCUCCUGGACAUGGUACUAUCAACGUGCACGAGAGGUCCACUCUGGUUUGGAAACCCACUGUCUUCUUCCUGGCGCUAGCUUUUGCUAAUCCAGAGAACCUAACUUCCCAGACAUAAGGUGGCAGGUGAGCCUGAUGGACAGUUCCUGGCCGAAGCAGCUCCUGUCUUGUCUCAGACAUCUACAGCAGACAUGGAGGAGUCCUAGCUGAGCAGCCCAAGAAGAUGAGCAGAAGACAGGGGUGUGCAGGUCUCCCGCAGUGCCCCUUGACACAUAUGCUACCUGGGGGGUUUCUCCAUGUUGUCUCACAGAUUUUCACAAAAUAAGUGUCCAUAUUCCAGGAAGGCUAAGGCUGGAAACUAUUGCCUGUUGCACACAUUGCUUCCUAGCUGGCUGGAGAAUGUCCUGCUAGUCACUGUGACAUGCUUUUCCCGGGAGAAAUGAGAAACCUUUUUUGUAAGAACAGGCAUCAUGGAAGAAGAAGAACUAGACAUUUCCACGGACAAGAAUUCAUUACAUCACUGCUCCUUUGACAGACAGGGCUGUAAGCCCUGGGGUGCACAGAGCCUCAGGCUAGCAGCCAGCUCACCAACUCUCAUGCUUUCUUUCUCUGUUUCUCCACAAAAUGAAGACACAAAAAGAACUUAGUUUCAUGGAGAUGGCAUGAAAUGAAAAGUCAGGCUUCAUUUGGCACUUUGUUUGGGUCCCCAAAUAACAAAAUAACUACUUAAGAAAUGUAACUCACACAAAAAGUAACUCAUAUAAUCAGUUAACUGUAUGUUGCCCCUGGCAUUACACCCUUCCACACAGGGAACGGGCAUGUGUCCAGAGCUGCACUCAGGAUUUGCCUGCACCUUGGAAGCCAGAUAAGGACAUGUUCAGUGCCUAAGGCUGGCCUGGAGAUGAGGGCCCUAGGUGGGCUGGGGAUGCACACGAGCUGGCACGAUGGAGGUUUCUGAGAAAACGAGGGACUCGGGUCAGGUGCAUUUGGUGUCACGAUUGUGCUGGCAAUAUGCAGCUAAGCGGGCUCAGACCUGCCCUUUUCAGUCAUACUCUGAAAACCCUCUAGCCUAGGAUCCAUCUGUUAUUUAAGCACAUGGUGAACUUGACCAAACAGUUGAUGUCUCAAUCUCCAUGUUGCUCAGGGCCUCUUGGAGCAGCUAGAACACCAUUUCAGGGAGUGAGGCUACAGGAGAUAAGGAGAGGACAUGCCCAGGGGAAAGAAAUCUAGCUCUGGACUUUAAAAGCAAAAAGUUGUUUCCUGGUUGCAGGUAAAAGCAUCUGGAACAGGUGGUAUGGCUGAUGUUGGUUAUCAACCUACAGGGAAAUCAGAGAAAGCUUUCUCUUUUCUCUUGAAGUAAGUGUUUGUUUUCCUUUUAAGUAUCCAAAGGAAAAGAUCAGCAUCUCUUUCCCGUUUUCCUUGAUUUCCGUGGUAAAAAGCCACAUGAAUUUAAAAAAUAAAAUUGCC
rnacentral:lncRNA from 1 species